rnacentral:rRNA from 1 species
UACGGGGGGGGCAAGCGUUGUUCGGAAUUACUGGGCGUAAAGGGCUCGUAGGUGGCCAACUAAGUCGGACGUGAAAUCCCUCGGCUUAACCGGGGAACUGCGUCUGAUACUGGAUGGCUUGAGUUCGGGAGAGGGAUGCGGAAUUCCAGGUGUAGCGGUGAAAUGCGUAGAUAUCUGGAGGAACACCGGUGGCGAAGGCGGCAUCCUGGACCGACACUGACACUGAGGAGCGAAAGCCAGGGGAGCGAACGGG